rnacentral:rRNA from 1 species
GAUGAACGCUGGCGGCGUGCCUAAUACAUGCAAGUCGAGCGAACGGACGAGAAGCUUGCUUCUCUGAUGUUAGCGGCGGACGGGUGAGUAACACGUGGAUCACCUACCUAUAAUACUGGGAUAACUUCGGGAAUCCGUAGCUAAUACCGGAUAAUCUUUUGCACCGCAUUGUUCAAAAGUGAAAGACGGUCUUGCUGUCACUUAUCGAUGGAUCCGCGCUGCAUUAGCUAGUUGGUAAGGUAACGGCUUACCAAGGCAACGAUGCAUAGCCGACCUGAGAGAGUGAUCGGCCACACGGGAACGGAGACACGGUCCAGACUCCUACGAGAGGCAGCAGUAGGGAAUCUUCCGCAAUGGGCGAAAGCCUGACGGAGCAACGCAGCGUGAGAGAUGAAGGUCUUCGGAGCGUAAAAAUCUGUUAUGAGGGAAGAACAGAUGUGUAAGUAAAUGUGCACAUCGUGACGGUACCGAAUCAGAAAGCCACGGCUAACUACGUG